AUCGGUUUCCUAUCUUUCGCUCUCGAGUCUAUAUAUAGAAAGCGGAAGAUAUCGAUUUCAUCAGUUUGCAGCUACCGCAGCUCGUAGGUUUAGCAUCGAUUCGGCUAUCAGAUUUCAAUCUCAGUCUUGUUUGUUGGUGCAUAAGCGGCUGGAUUAAUGUCAACAAUGUGGUCAAUGAAAACUCAGUAGGAGAACACCCGCCGUCAUCUUGAAAGCAUUGAGAUAACUGCUCCUGCACAUUGUAUAUCUAUUAGGCGGUAUUUGUAUGACUACGUUGUUCAGCUUCUGAUUUCAUUAGGAACUAGAUGGUGCCUUUAUCCCCUAAAUUCAAUGCAGAUGGAUAUCAAACAAUCAGCUUCUUAUAAUGCCACUCAGAGCUUCCUUGUCAAGCCACUUGGCGAAGGAUCAAUGGAAAGCUAUUCACCUAAAGACAUUUGAUUGAUUAAUUUGUAACAUGAAGAAGGUUAGCAAAUGUGCCUUGGUAUUCUCGAUGAAUUAAAAAAAAAAUUCUUAUAUGGAAGUAUCUCUGAGUGAAUUGAUCAUUUUACAUCGGAGAGCUAAAGAGAAGAAGCUUCAGGGAUAGUUAUUAGCACUAACAAUUGGUCUUAUUUUAUUACCUGACAAGACAUUUCUGUUGAUUCCAGAUGUAUAUUGUCUUAACUUUGCAGCUGAAAAUUUUAGUAGCUUUCUGGCUUGGCUCGAAAGUUUUGUAAAGCAGAACCUUUCUGGCUCGGCUUGUAUCUAUUCACAUUUUCCUACAAUUUAUUUGUUUAUGUAGGUAUGACAAUAUGAAAAAAAAAAAAAAAAAUGCAUUUCAUUCCUCUGUUUAUUUCAGAUUUUCUGAUAGAAUCGUAUGAGUUGUUGCUUCUGGGCAUAAGCUCUGCGCUUUUUUAGCUGCAAUGUUGCAGCGGCAACGAUAGCUUCCAGGAACUGGGAAGCAUUUGUUUCCUGUUAUUGAGGCUCAAGGCAUGAUGGCUAACCACUGCUAACUACUACUUUCUUGUGCGCUCGUCUUCCAUGAUUAAACCAGAAGACUUCAUCUAAAAUUUAUGCUUACUUUUCUCCGAUCAAUCCAGGGGUCUGAAGUCUGAAGCUUUCUACAAAUAUAAGAGUCACGAAGCAUCCAUAUCUUGGGAUAAGAAUCUCACAAGGGAUCAUGGAAACUAAUUGGAGGACUGAUGUAAGCCCAAUCAUUCCUCCAUUCACAUCCACAACCAUCUUCCCCACUUCCGUAUCUCAUAUUCAAAUGCCCUCACUGUCACUGCAAAUGAUCAUUAACAUACUCCAAAGUGGUGGUUAUUGCCACUCACAUCACUUUGUGCUGCUCUUUGUAGUCUUUCUUUCUCCCAACAAAGAUAUACUGUCACAGUCAGCUUGUUCCAUGGCAUCUGAAACGUGACCUGCCAUCCCUAGACUAGUAUAUAUGCUGAUCCACCAUUGGUGGCCAUUGGAACACCUGAGGCUGCGGAUUUAAUACUGCAAAUGGCAUUGAAUUGGAGGAAAAGUACUCCUAGAAAUGAUGGGCAGCGUGCUAGAUGGGAGGUGGUGGAUACAAACAAGUUGCCUUAUUUUUUUAAAUACAGGGUUCAUUAGGUGAUAAGGGGAAUCUUCUUGAGUUGCAUCAAUUCUUAAUCAUCCCUUAGGAGGAUUGAUAACUUUUAGGCCUUUUUUGUCCUUUCAAUUAGUGAGUUUAUUUUUAGAGAGAUGACUAAUAGCACAUAUAUAGUAAUGAAGCUUCAAGACAUUAUCUUGUACAACUUUGUAAAUUUUAUACAUGGAGGAGAAGAUUCUUGUGUGCCUGUUUUUGUAAAAUAAUCAU